rnacentral:rRNA from 1 species
CCAUGCAAGUCGAACGAUGAAGCCCUUCGGGGUGGAUUAGUGGCGAACGGGUGAGUAACACGUGGGCAAUCUGCCCUUCACUCUGGGACAAGCCCUGGAAACGGGGUCUAAUACCGGAUAACACUCUCUCUCGCAUGGGAGAGGGUUGAAAGCUCCGGCGGUGAAGGAUGAGCCCGCGGCCUAUCAGCUAGUUGGUGAGGUAGAAGCUCACCAAGGCGACGACGGGUAGCCGGCCUGAGAGGGCGACCGGCCACACUGGGACUGAGACACGGCCCAGACUCCUACGGGAGGCAGCAGUGGGGAAUAUUGCACAAUGGGCGAAAGCCUGAUGCAGCGACGCCGCGUGAGGGAUGACGGCCUUCGGGUUGUAAACCUCUUUCAGCAGGGAAGAAGCGAAAGUGACGGUACCUGCAGAAGAAGCGCCGGCUAACUACGUGCCAGCAGCCGCGGUAAUACGUAGGGCGCAAGCGUUGUCCGGAAUUAUUGGGCGUAAAGAGCUCGUAGGCGGCUUGUCACGUCGGUUGUGAAAGCCCGGGGCUUAACCCCGGGUCUGCAGUCGAUACGGGCAGGCUAGAGUUCGGUAGGGGAGAUCGGAAUUC